rnacentral:rRNA from 1 species
GUUGAACGCUGGCAGCAUGCUUAACACAUCAGCAAUUGACUGGUGGCGGACGGGUGAGUAACGCUUAAAUAACUUGCCUCACAGCUAGGGACAACAUUUGGAAACGAAUGCUAAUAACUAACAUUCUGAGAGAGCUUUGCGUGCCAUUAGGUCGUUGGGGUGGUAAAGGCUCACCAAGGCGAUGAUGGGCAGCCGGCCUGAGAGGGUGAUCGGCUACAAGGGGACUGGUGCACGGGCCCUACUCCUACGGGGGGCAGCAGUGGGGAAUAUUGGACAAAGGACCAAAGUCUGAUGCAGCAAUUCUGUGUGCACGAUGAAGUUUUCGGAUUGUAAAGUACUUUCAGUCGGGAGGUGUUAAUACUUCAACGAUUGACGUUACCGACAGAAGAAGCACCGGCUAACUCCGUGCCAGCAGCCGCGGUAAUUC